GCGCUGGCACGGCUCUGUAAACGGUAACUGUCGAGGAAUCCACCUCCUUGUAGAGCCGUAAGGGCUGACUCCAGCAGGAAACCAUCAGCGUCCAAGCUCGUAGGAAACCAAAGGUCACCUGACAAGCCUAGCAGCCACAAAAAGGUGACGAAAUCUCCAUGGGACUGUGAGAGCCCUGUUGGGAAAAGCAAAGCCAUCCGGGCAUAGCAAGAUACCAGGACCCUGUCAUCUAACAGGACCAUUGACCGGUGUCACACUUCUCAGAGUCCUGCCUCUCAGUCUCAUGACUCCAGUGGAGCUCCCACUCAGUGUGUACCCUUUGGUCUGUGGAACAGAGAAAUGGCUUCAGAGCUGGAGGCAUGCUCUAAAAACUGUUCUUCACUGUGCUCCGCGGUUGCCUUGUGUGCUUUGAUGAAGAAGAGAGAUGGAUCAGCAAACAGGAGCCUGUAGAUUGGGAACUCCAGGUGCAUGGACAGACAGAGGAAGGAAACAGCGUAUGAGAACAGUGGUCCCUGGAUCUGAACGAAGGAGGGGUACAUGAUUAAUUAAUUAAUUAAUUACAAAGGAAAAGAAAGAAAGAAGCAAAGAUCUAAUAAUUGAUCAGUAGACAUCUCAGUGAGGAAACAUGGAGAAAAUGGUGUGAAGCCAGCUUAAAUGUCAGCACAGUCUAGAAUCACCUCAAAAGAACGUCCCAGUGAAGAACUGGUUUGGAUCUUGGAGGAUCCAGAUGCUCCUAAUUGUGGGAAUCCCCACUAGUGUGGGAAGACCCAGCUCAGCAUGGGUGGCUCCGUUCUUAAGGCAGGGUCCUAAGCUAUGCGAGUGCAAGAACCAAGCUGAACAGCCGAACACAGCAAGUGAGCGUGCACAAACUCAUUCUCUCACCUUUGCAUGUGAGCGUGACAUGCCAGCUGCCCCUGCUCUUGCUGCCCCUGUGCAUUUCCUGCCCUGAUGGAAUGUGACCAGGAAAUGUGAACUGCCAUUAAUCCCUUUCUUCCCAAGUCACUUAUGUCAGGGUAUUCAUCACAGCAACAGAAGUGAAACCAGAACGUGAGAGCUUCCCUCCAACUAAGCUUUAUGUGUAACUAAGCUACACACAAAGACACAGUGCCUGAAAGUAUAUAGGCUAAGGCAUAUAUGGGAUUUUUUUGGAGUGUUGGGAAUGUGAAAGGACUUAAGAAAGAUAGGUUAUAGUUAAGAAAACAGGAGAUUUUUUUUGUGGAAUUGACCUUCCCAACAGCAACUGUAGCUGCUUUCUGGAGAAAUGCAGAGACAACUCUAGGACUAGAGACGGGGUCUUACUAUGUAUAUCUGGCUUGCUUCAAACCCACAAUCCUUCGUUUCAGCCUUCUGAGUGAUGACAUUACAUGUGCACACUACAGCUGGCUGAGAAUAGUUUCUCUGUCUCUGCCUCUCUCUCCCUGUCUCUCUGUCUCUGUCUCUCUCUGUCUCUGUCCUCUCUCUGCCUAUAUAUAUAUCUUCAGAUACACACUCACCCACCCCCACCUGCCCACCCCUUCCCAACUCUAUGUCCUCCUUUGAUUUCUAUUUUGAACAAUCCACGGAGGCCAGGUUGUGCUGACCAUAUACUCCCAGAUAUGAGACCAUCCACUGAAGUAUGAUCAACACUCCAGGGGACAUACCAUUUUAAAAGUGCCUCUUCCUCCACCAGAAGCCUUCAACUGCCAGUAGCUCUUCAGCUAAAGGUCUUUAUAUGAUUUUUAAAUAUUGAUCAAUUGUGAGAGACAACAUCCAAGAAGGCAUGCCUUACCAUGGCAAAUACAUGAAAGUGGCGGUAGUCUUCUUAGAAGCCCCUGUGAUAUCUAAGGAGGUGUUGCAGUCAUGAGAAUCUGAGUUGUAUCCUAUUACCCAUGGGAAAAACAAACAAACAAACAAACAAACAAACAAAAGCUGUGUGUGGCGGUGUGCUCUUGUGGAUCCUUGGGGCUUGCUAGCCAGACAGCCUUGCUGAAUCUGUGAAUCCCAGGUUCCAGUGGGAGAGACCUUGUCUUAAAAAAUAAGGGAGAUGGCUCAGUUAAGUAUCAUGUAAGCAGCACACAUGAGGACAGGUGCUCCAGUCCCCACAACCCGUGUCAAUGCUCAGUGAGUGUGCCAGUGCACACACAAUUCCAGAGCUCAGAAAGUCUUGCACGCGCUCAACUGGCCAGGAAGAACGAUGCUGCAACAGGAUCCUUCUGCACACGUUUAUUGGGAGAGCAUUGAUUGCAUAGGCGAAAGAAGAAGAACAACGAACAAGGAAAAUAAUGCUGCUUAUAUACCCCUCCAUGUGACGUGUCAGCUCCUGAUUAGCUGCUCACUCAUUAUAUCUCCCUUGUUUAUAUCUCCCUUGUUUAUAUCUCCCCCGAACCCUGGGUCUCUCACUCUUUUAUACUCUCAGUUCCCAUCCACGCACAGCAGGCCACGCCACCUCACCAGGUACGCAGCUUCAACUAAUCAGGGCAGCAGGGGCAUAUCUCCAUCAAAAUGGAUUCACCAGUAUCCUGGUACACCUGCGCAGCUCUCAAGAUGUUUGUGGCUUAUAUGAGGAAGUCAGGUGCAAGUCAUACGACUUAGCUGCAGUCCCUGGCACCUUUGGGACUGCCGCCACACCCGCUCCUCACAAGAAAGUGGGAAUCUUCUGAGGCUACAGAGUAAGCUGAGCACGCUGGCUAGCUAGACUAAGCAUUCAUUGAGAGACCGCCUCAGUGGACAUGGUAGAAAGCAACUGAAGAAGAUCCCCAGUGUCUGCUUCAGGCAUCUAGUGAUUUCACUUCAGGCUUCACACACAGGCACACACAGCAUACACACACGCGCGCACACACACACACACACAAUCACACACUUGAAAACAAACAAACAAACAACCCAGACGACUUCUGAGGAAUGAUAGCCAGGGUUGACCUAUGGUCUCCAUAUGCACCCACACACCUUGUAGGCCCUGCAGAGAACUCAGGUUCUUUCCCCAGCACUGACAAGGUGGCUCACAACCAUCCACAACCCCAGGUCCAGGGUGUUUGACCCCUUCUUCUGACCUCCAUGGGACCAAGUAUGAACAUGGUACAUAUGGAUACAUGCCGGCAAAACAUUCAUAUGAAUAAAAAUAAAUCUUAAUUUAAAAAAAUUGAAAACCUCUUUCCUUGAAAGCAUCACACAUAAUUUAAUAUCCAAAUUUCUAGUUUUCAGAAUAAAUGCAUUCAUUGAUAAAUAGGGAUUUUUUGGACCCCAAUGUGAGUCAACUAAAAUUAUAGAUCAUAAAACUAGUAAGAUAUAUGGAUACUUACUAUGAUAUAAAACAUAGAAUGCAGUGGAUGCUUAUCUGUGCCUUUUUCAUCCAUGGAUUUAGAGAUCACAUAAUAUAUGCAUCUGCCACUGGUAUACUAUAAUGAACACGCCUUUUUAGAAAGCAGCUAAAGUCACACUUCAAAUCUUACCCCCAGAAUUCACAG
rnacentral:lncRNA from 1 species